GGGUGCUCAGCGCCCGACCUCCAACCCUUUGUUGUUAAAACUACCUUGUUGCUUUGGCGGGACCGCUCGGUCUCGAGCCGCUGGGGAUUCGUCCCAGGCGAGCGCCCGCCAGAGUUAAACCAAACUCUUGUUAUUUAACCGGUCGUCUGAGUUAAAAUUUUGAAUAAAUCAAAACUUUCAACAACGGAUCUCUUGGUUCUCGCAUCGAUGAAGAACGCAGCGAAAUGCGAUAAGUAAUGUGAAUUGCAGAAUUCAGUGAAUCAUCGAAUCUUUGAACGCACAUUGCGCCCCUUGGUAUUCCGAGGGGCAUGCCUGUUCGAGCGUCAUUACACCACUCAAGCUAUGCUUGGUAUUGGGUGCCGUCCUUAGUUGGGCGCGCCUUAAAGACCUCGGCGAGGCCUCACCGGCUUUAGGCGUAGUAGAAUUUAUUCGAACGUCUGUCAAAGGAGAGGACUUCUGCCGACUGAAACCUUUAUUUUUCUAGGUUGACCUCGGAUCAGGUAGGGAU
rnacentral:rRNA from 1 species